AAGGGAAAAGGGGGUCGGGGGCGACAAAGGGAACUUGGUCCGCACGCAGCCACCGAAAUUGCAGUGCGAGGCUGUAAGGAGGCGCUGUGGCCUGCAGAAGAGCCUCGGGGCCCCAGGCCGCCUUAGCUCGGGUUUCUGGGGCUGCGGUAAGCAUCGAAUCACUUAUCCUUUUACUCUUUCCACCCAGGGUGUCCGCUGAAAAUGAGAAGUAUCCAGUCCCCGACGGUUGGCUGAAGCUAUGCGAGGAUUAUAUCCUGCUCCGCGUUGGUGCGAGCAUUCGGAGCGACCCCUCAGUUUGGGGAAUCCAGGUCAGUUUACUGGAAGAUUUGUAUGUGUGCUGGCUGGAAAGCUGACUCCGUGUCUGCUGCUUCUCUGUGCCUAGAAUGGGAUUGUUUUGGAUUAGGACCUGCCAGGUCUGUUUGGUCAGUUCCUGACUGCAUACUUGCUGAGUGUUGGCCUGCUUAAGACCCUGUUUUGUAGGGAUACAAAUAAAUGGAGCCAGACUCCAAGGUGACUUGGUUUCUGUGCCCAGUGGCCACGUGUCUGAGUGUGUAGCCUCUACUGAGACACACAGUUGGCAAUGCUGUUUCCAACUAUUUUGAAAGAGUGACUUCCAGGGCCACUCGCACUGUCCUCUGUAGGAAAAGUGCUCAGGAGGAGGCCUGAGGCCCAGGAGCACUUUGACCUGUUAGCCCAUUUUCCUUAUUGUCAUUUAUGUUUUUUCCUCUGACUUUCAGAGCGUUUUUAGCAUCUUCAGCUGUGAAAUCCUCUGGGAGGCUGCAGCAUGGCAAAGUUUUGAGGUACUAACAGGUGCUAUUUGCUGCAGGAAGACACCUACCCCUCCCAAGGUAGGAGAGCUGGGGGGGGAGGGGAGUUUAUUGGAGGCUGUCAGUCUUUUACUGUCUUAGUUUGCAUGUUUGGGCCACUCACGAAAGCAUCCACCCCACAGUAAACAGUUACCUACGUUCUCCCCUACGUGCUUGUCUGUAGACGGAAAACGUGUAUUGCUUAAAUUAAUAUAUUGUGUUAAGAUAUGAUAUGUACUGGAAAAAAUAAUAUGAAUUGAUGUUUCUGGAAUAAAUCACCCUGAUGCCCAAUUACCGA